GUGAAAAACGAAUAUUAAAUUAGCAAUAAGAACAGUGAAAGGACUACACAAAUUACUCCAAAUUUAUAUAAAUGAUCUGUGGAAUGUGUUUUCUUCACGAUACAAAUUAUCCACUAUCAGUACAAAAAUACGAUCGAUCAAACCAAAAAUAAUCGUUGCUUCUUAAACUUCUGCAAGUAAUCGAAAAUUGAACGAAUAAAUUAUCGAGACACCAAUCGAUUUCUUGUUUGCUGGACUUUAAAAAUACACACGGCGAUCACAGAAGGGGAAGGGAAGAGUAACACGGUAGAAGAGGCCCACGCGACGGCUAGUUGCCUGGCUCGUAGUUUUGCAUGUUAAUCUCUAUGGGAAAUUACAUGCACCAUUGCACCAUCCGGCGACAACACCCGAAACUACUUCGACGACGUUCUAUUUUGUUCGCCGGGCAUUAAACGAGAUCCCGAUUCCCCAACGUGAUUCAACCGGCAACGCUUCUUUUCGAAAGUACGUAAAGCAGUUACCGAAAGUUCCCUCGCCUGCCUGUGAAAUGCAGUUAAACGAGUUUAUCUGGAUUUACCGUGAAAAGUAUGCCGUGAAACGAUGUUUCGCCUCACGGUGAACGGGAAAGGGGAUGAAGCAUUCGUGUGAAACAGAAAUAAGAAACGUUGUUAAAGAAUUGUGUACCUUUUUUACACUUUUUCUCAUCUGAG
rnacentral:misc_RNA from 1 species